UACAGAGGGUGCGAGCGUUGUCCGGAAUCACUGGGCGUAAAGGGCGCGUAGGUGGUGGCUUAAGCGUGCGGUGAAAGCUCGGGGCUCAACUCCGAGUCGGCCGUGCGAACUGGGCUCACUGGAGCAUAGUAGAGGCAGGUGGAAUUCCGGGUGUAGCGGUGGAAUGCGUAGAGAUCCGGAGGAACACCAGCGGCGAAGGCGGCAUCCUGGACUGGUCCUGACGCUCAGGAGCGAAAGCGUGGGGAGCGAGUCCGG
rnacentral:rRNA from 1 species